UACGGGGGGUGCGAGCGUUGUCCGGAAUCACUGGGCGUAAAGGGCGCGUAGGUGGUUUGAUAAGGGUGUGGUGAAAGUCCGGGGGCUCAACCCCCGGAUCUGCCGUGCCGACUGUCAAACUCGAGGGCUGUAGAGGCAGACGGAAUUCCGGGUGUAGCGGUGGAAUGCGUAGAGAUCCGGAGGAAGACCGGUGGCGAAGGCGGUCUGCUGGGCAGUUUCUGACACUGAGGCGCGACAGCGUGGGGAGCAAACAGGG
rnacentral:rRNA from 1 species